GGCUCCUACACGCCGAGGAACAAGGUCGUGAGAAGGGGAGGACUUGGUGGUGCUGCCAUUUCUACGGUCUUAGGGCUCUGCCCCUUUCGCAGAACUUCCAACAGCGCCAUGUUGGGACAGAGCGUCCGGAGGUUCACAACCUCUGUGGUCCAUAGGAGCCACUAUGAGGAAGGCCCAGGGAAGAAUUUGCCAUUUUCAGUGGAAAACAAGUGGCGAUUACUACUUAUGAUGACUUUGUACUUUGGAUCUGGAUUUGCUGCACCUUUUUUUAUAGUAAGACAUCAGCUGCUUAAGAAAUAAGGAUGUUUUAAUUAAUCCAUCAAACAGAUGUGAAAAGGAACAUUUUAAGAGGUGCAGUCUCUUUGAAAAAUGGAUCAAACUCUUGUUUUCAACAUACUCAAUAUGUUUGUAAAUAAACUUAUGGCAUGCAUCCUUAAUGCCUCUUCUCUGAAA